rnacentral:rRNA from 1 species
UACGUAGGGGGCUAGCGUUGUCCGGAAUCAUUGGGCGUAAAGCGCGUGUAGGCGGCCCGGUAAGUCCGCUGUGAAAGUCGGGGGCUCAACCCUCGGAUGCCGGUGGAUACUGUCGGGCUAGAGUACGGAAGAGGCGAGUGGAAUUCCUGGUGUAGCGGUGAAAUGCGCAGAUAUCGGGAAGAACACCCGUGGCGAAGGCGGUUCUCUGGGACGGUACUGACGCUGAGACGCGAAAGCGUGGGGAGCGAACAGG